GGAACUGUCUGUUGAAGACCCCCCCCCCCACCAAGCUGCCCACCAGAGGCCAAGCUGUACUUGGUGUUUGCCAACAUGCUGUAAUUUCCAGCCUGGUUGCUGUAGCCACAGAGGAAUUUUCAAGGACAAGAACCAGUGCUGGUAAAACUGUGGUCUCUGUGGUUUUCCAUACCGGCUCUCGGCAAGGAUUUUCAAGAAAGGAAUACCAUCUCCAAAUCAUGAUGUGCCAAUAAGCUCCAGUUAGCUGCGGCCUUUUCCCCAGGCGGUAGUCCUGCAAUCUGAAUCCAGGAGAUGCAGCUCUGAAUCCAAUAUUUCAGAAGAAUGAAGAUGAAGCAGACCCAGGAGGAACUGUCUGUUGAAGACCCCCCCCCCCCCACCAAGCUGCCCACCAGAGGCCAAGCUGUACUUGGUGUUUGCCAACAUGCUGUAAUUUCCAGCCUGGUUGCUGUAGCCACAGAGGAAUUUUCAAGGACAAGAACCAGUGCUGGUAAAACUGUGGUCUCUGUGGUUUUCCAUACCGGCUCUCGGCAAGGAUUUUCAAGAAAGGAAUACCAUCUCCAAAUCAUGAUGUGCCAAUAAGCUCCAGUUAGCUGCGGCCUUUUCCCCAGGCGGUAGUCCUGCAAUCUGAAUCCAGGAGAUGCAGCUCUGAAUCCAAUAUUUCAGAAGAAUGAAGAUGAAGCAGACCCAGGAGGAACUGUCUGUUGAAGACCCC